GAGAGUUAUCAGAUGUUUGGAAACACACAGGACUGGCUGCACAUGCUUUGUUUCUCCUCGGCAGGGAUGUUCUCAUAAAAGCGCUUAGGAAGUAGCUGACGCUCCAAACUCUACUGAUACGCGACAAAUCUGAUUAUACCCCGCCGACUGAAUGGUACCUAUGCCUUUAUAAAUAUCCACUGAAACGAAUUGAAACACAACUUCAAACACUGUCGCAGCCUGCAAAAGACAACUAAAGGUAACACACAUCCUUGACGAUGAAGUCAGUUUGUAUCCUGAUGCUUUUUUAUGUGGUGAUAUUGACCUUACAAGUACAGGAAGUUGAAGGAAUCGGAACACUUUGGCAGACUCCCACCAAAAAGGCCAAGAGAGAAAAUCAAGAUAAUGAGUUGCAUAGGAAGAAGUUUCCACUCGACAACAAGCGGAACCUGUGCGCAGCUGUACGUGACAUUGAUUGUAGUCGAGUAUUGGAAGAUGGAUCAGAGUCCCAGUGAAAAAAUAGAAUGCUAGUUGAUAUUGGAAUAAAAAAAAAGCCCUCGGCUCUCUUUUGUUAGCCCAGCAAGAGAAAAGCUUCAAGAACUGUGUGAAUUUUUAGAAAGAAUGACUAAACUCAUAGUAAAAAUAAACUUGGCCUAAAACUCUUGAA